UACGGAGGGAGCUAGCGUUGUUCGGAAUUACUGGGCGUAAAGCGCACGUAGGCGGCUUUUUUAAGUCAGGGGGUGAAAUCCCGGGGCUCAACCCCCGGAACUGCCCUUGAAACUGGAGAGCUAGAAUCUUGGAGAGGCGAGUGGAAUUCCGAGUGUAGAGGUGAAAUUCGUAGAUAUUCGGAAGAACACCAGUGGCGAAGGCGACUCGCUGGACAAGUAUU
rnacentral:rRNA from 1 species